UGAAUAAGCUGUUUUAUGGGUGAUUGCAAAAUCAAUAUUCCUCUCUUUCUGCUGGCUGUAGGUAGAUAAAAGGCUUAGACAUCAAAAGGAUCUUCAUAUAAGAUAAAACAGUCAAGAGAAGAGAAAGAAUCAUAUAAAGUCACUUCUUUUCCCUGCAACUGACCGUGAACCUAUAUGUCUAUAUGCAUUUGUACUUUUAUUGACAUAAUAAUCUGUGUACACUAAAGAGCAUUCAAAAGUGCCUCCUAAAAUUCAAUCUCCUUUAUAAGAGGUCUCACUAAGGAUGAAAUGAAGCAACUUCUAAAGAGGGGGUGGAUGUUGGUUCAUGUGUCAACUACAUGUAACCUGGUGUUGUUUGCAGGAUCUUGGCGAUCGAGUGAGAUCAUUUGCAAUCAUUGCAUCAACACCUGAUUAUCUUUUGGAACUCGUGCAUCAACACUAAAUGUCAUUACUAAUCCUGUUGGAUUAGCUGCUGUUGUUCUAAUUGUCAAGUACAUAUGGUGGAUCGAUCUAACCGGAGCUAUUAUAAAUGCAUUAUAGAUAAUAAAUAUAUGGACAAAGUUAUAUUUCGGAUUUCUAAUCCUAUUGGAUUAGCUGCUGUUGUUCUAAAUGCAUUAUGAAAUUUAUUGUUGACAGGUUUAUAACAAUUAUAAGAACUUAGAUUAGACACCAAUCUUACCUAAAUUGUAUAUUUCGUUUUUGAAAUAGUGGUGAUGCAAUGUAUCUAGAGAGAAA